rnacentral:rRNA from 1 species
AGCGAACGCUGGCGGCAUGCUUAACACAUGCAAGUCGCACGGUCGGGGUAACUCCGGCAGUGGCGGACGGGUGAGUAACGCGUAGGUAUCUGUCCAUGGGUGGGGGAUAACGCUGGGAAACUGGUGCUAAUACCGCAUGACACCUGAGGGUCAAAGGCGCAAGUCGCCUGUGGAGGAGCCUGCGUCCGAUUAGCUAGUUGGUGGGGUAAAGGCCUACCAAGGCGACGAUCGGUAGCUGGUCUGAGAGGAUGAUCAGCCACAUUGGGACUGAGACACGGCCCAAACUCCUACGGGAGGCAGCAGUGGGGAAUAUUGGACAAUGGGCGCAAGCCUGAUCCAGCAAUGCCGCGUGGAUGAAGAAGGUCUUCGGAUUGUAAAGUCCUUUCGGCGGGGACGAUGAUGACGGUACCGCAGAAGAAGCCCCGGCUAACUUCGUG